GUCUACGGCCAUGCUACCCUCAACAAACCCAAUCUCGUCUGAUCUCAGAAGCUAAGAAGGGUUGAGCCCGGUUAGUACUUGGAUGGGAGACCACCUAGAAAGAUCAGGUGUUGUAGGUG
rnacentral:rRNA from 1 species